rnacentral:rRNA from 1 species
CCUACGGGAGGCAGCAGUGGGGAAUAUUGCACAAUGGGCGCAAGCCUGAUGCAGCCAUGCCGCGUGUAUGAAGAAGGCCUUCGGGUUGUAAAGUACUUUCAGCGGGGAGGAAGGUGAUAAGGUUAAUACCCUUGUCAAUUGACGUUACCCGCAGAAGAAGCACCGGCUAACUCCGUGCCAGCAGCCGCGGUAAU